UAAUACAGAGGGUGCAAGCGUUAAUCGGAAUUACUGGGCGUAAAGCGAGCGUAGGUGGCUUGAUAAGUCAGAUGUGAAAUCCCCGGGCUUAACCUGGGAACUGCAUCUGAUACUGUUAGGCUAGAAUAGGUGAGAGGAAGGUAGAAUUCCAGGUGUAGCGGUGAAAUGCGUAGAGAUCUGGAGGAAUACCGAUGGCGAAGGCAGCCUUCUGGCAUCAUAUUGACACUGAGGUUCGAAAGCGUGGGUAGCAAACAGG
rnacentral:rRNA from 1 species